rnacentral:rRNA from 1 species
UACGUAGGGGGCAAGCGUUGUCCGGAAUCAUUGGGCGUAAAGAGCGUGUAGGCGGCCAGAUAAGUCCGCUGUGAAAACUCGAGGCUCAACUUCGAGCUGUCGGCGGAAACUAUCUGGCUAGAGUCCGGAAGAGGAGAGUGGAAUUCCUGGUGUAGCGGUGAAAUGCGCAGAUAUCAGGAGGAACACCAAUGGUGAAGGCAGCUCGCUGGAACGGUACUGACGCUGAGACGCGAAAGCGUGGGGAGCAAACAGG